GACAGAGGGUGCAAACGUUGCUCGGAAUUACUGGGCGUAAAGCGCGUGUAGGCGGAUUCGCAAGUCAGAUGUGAAAUCCCCGGGCUCAACCUGGGAACUGCAUUUGAAACUGCGAGUCUUGAGUGCCGGAGAGGGUAGUGGAAUUCCUGGUGUAGAGGUGAAAUUCGUAGAUAUCAGGAGGAACACCGGUGGCGAAGGCGGCUACCUGGACGGUUACUGACGCUGAGACGCGAAAGCGUGGGGAGCAAACAGG
rnacentral:rRNA from 2 species